CCUCUCUCCACCACACCUUCACGACUACGUCUGGGAAACAUUCUCCACUUUGAAGGGCGUGUGCAGCAUUAGGACUGGACCCACCAGCCAACACGGGAUGAUCUCCCUGUCUCCAGCCUCUCCAGAGAGUUCCACUCCAACAGUGGCAGCAUGAGAAAUUCUGCAGACCUGCUCCUCAGUGAAACAAGC
rnacentral:lncRNA from 1 species